rnacentral:rRNA from 1 species
UACGAGGGGUGCUAGCGUUGUUCGGAAUUACUGGGCGUAAAGCGCGCGUAGGCGGCUUAACAAGUCAGGGGUGAAAUCCUGGAGCUCAACUCCAGAAUUGCCUUUGAAACUGUUAAGCUUGAGUGUCGGAGGGGAUAGCGGAAUUGCUAAUGUAGAGGUGAAAUUCGUAGAUAUUAGCAGGAACACCGGUGGCGAAGGCGGCUAUCUGGACGACAACUGACGCUGAGGCGCGAAAGCGUGGGGAUCAAACAGG